CCCACCCUUUUGGUUGUUUGACCUGAGGCUUCCCAGCACUGGAGCCUACAGCGGGCGUUGGCUGGGGCCGGGUUCUGGCCCCCAAGUGGCGGCCUCCAGGGAAGCUCAUGCUGAUGAUUAUUACCCAGUACCUCUGCCGCCAGUGUCUUUGUCCCCACAGUGAGCCCCAGGAGACCCCUGCCUCUCCAGAAGACCCUCCAAGACCAGCAGCAUUAAAAUGUGAACGGGGCCUCCUGGACUUGCUGAUGCAGUGUUCCCACCCACCCCGGCCAUCUGCGUGGAUACACCAGAGCCCUUAUGCUUGUUCAGGUGGACCCCAUACUCCUCCUGCCUGUCCUCAUCUGUGUUGUCUAGACCACGGUUGGCACCUGACCCACUCUCCAAAACUGAAAUGGGACUAAGUGGUUCCUACCCCAGGCUGGUUGCUUUCUUGAGGGGAAGAGAUAUAAACACUGGAGCUGAUGGAUGCAGUAAUCUGCCACCUCAACGGGAAAACAAAGGCAUUGUACUUAACAGCAUAGUUCCAGAAGCUGCCUAUCAGUCUGAUUCUGCCUUCGCUGAGGAACCCGUCAUCUGCUUGUGCAACAUCACUCAUGGGCCAUCAGACAAGUUGGACAAAGAAUCACUUAUGUAACUACCAUCCCCCCAAAAUAUUUCCAUGUGCACCUUUGUGGUCAAUCCUUUAUCCUCUCCUUUGAUUCGUAGCCCUUGGCAACCUCUGAUCUAAUCUCUGCCUUUGUAAUUGUGUCACUUUAAAAAUGUCACAUAAAUGGAAUUUUGCACCUGACUUCUUCCGCUUAGAAGAAUGUGCUGAUGUUCAUCCGUGUUGGAGCAGGUAUGUAGUUCUUUUUAUUCUUGAAUAGAAAUCCACUGUAUGGAUGUACAGUAGCUGUUGUUUUUUAAUUGAAGAAUAGUUGAUUUACAACGUUGUGCUAAUUUCUACUAUACAGCAAAGUGACUCAGUUAUACACAUAUAUAUACAUUCUCUUUUAAAAUAUUCUUUUCCAUUAUGGUUUAUCCCAGGAGACUGGAUAUAGUUCCCUGUGCUAUACAGUAAGACCUUGUUGUUUAUCCAUUCUAAAUGUAAUAGUUUGCAUCUACCAAGCCAAACUUCCAGUCCAUCCCUCUCCCUCCCCCCUCCUCCUUGGCAACC